rnacentral:rRNA from 1 species
UACGAAGGGGACUAGCGUUGUUCGGAUUUACUGGGCGUAAAGGGCGCGCAGGCGGUUCUGUUUGUCGAGUGUGAAAGCCCCGGGCUCAACCUGGGAACUGCGCUCGAAACGGCGGAACUAGAGUUCGGGAGAGGAGAGUGGAACUCCCAGUGUAGAGGUGAAAUUCGUAGAUAUUGGGAAGAACACCGGUGGCGAAGGCGGCUCUCUGGACCGAUACUGACGCUGAGGCGCGAAAGCGUGGGGAGCAAACAGG